CACGUAGGGCGCGAGCGUUGUCCGGAAUUAUUGGGCGUAAAGAGCUCGUAGGCGGUCUGUCGCGUCGGUCGUGAAAACUUGGGGCUUAACCCUGAGCUUGCGGUCGAUACGGGCAUGACUGGAGUUCGGCAGGGGGAGACUGGAAUUCCUGGUGUAGCGGGUGAAAUGCGCAGAUAUCAGGAGGAACACCGGUGGCGAAGGCGGGUCUCUGGGCCGAUACUGACGCUGAGGAGCGAAAGCGUGGGGAGCGAACAGG
rnacentral:rRNA from 1 species